CCUGCAGUGGGAGGGACAGUCAAUCCUGAAGAGUGCUUCUGAAAUCUGAAAUCUAGACAUGGAACAAUAUACAUAUAUACUCUUGGUGAUGUUGUCUAUCAGGUAGUGGUGAAAAGAUUGCAAGAUCUCUAAGACAAGUAAAGGUGGAGGAAAACCCUAACAUGAAGUCGGAAAACUGAGCACAAAUCUUGAAUCCACCAUUAAUUCUUACUUUGGAAGAGUCUCUUGUCUUCUCCUUAAUUCUAAAAUACAGAGUAAAAUUACCUCUCUCCUUUAGUUUACAGAAGUGUUUGUAAAUAGCAAAUUAAGAAAGCUCUUUAAAACAAAGAGCAGUUAUCAUUUUAAAAUCAAUCAAUGCAAGAUUCAUCUUGAGAUGUUUUUGCUGGCUACCACUGCAGGCUUAUAGCAAAUCCUCAGAUCAGGGGUGGA